AGCCGUAACAACAUAAUAAUAAUAGGGUAAAUGUUUUGGUAAGCCAUAAAUAAGUUGAGAGUUGGAACGACAAAUCCGAGUAUUGUUAGGGGACUUUUUAGUUAUCCACUGGAUCAUUGAUAACGAUUACCACAUCAACCACAACGAUUUGCCAAUUAAUUGAAUUAUUAGGACCUCAAAGAAUUUUCCCCUGAACCACAAAUAGCGUCUUGCGUUAUAUUACACGCAUACGGAGUUAUUAGCGCUAAUGACAAACGGACAGCGCUAUUGUGUGCCUUUUACCGCAUCGUUUCCUUUUCGGUUCGCGAAAUAAAAUAACAAAAUACGCGAAUGACCGCAUAAUUUCGAUAGAUGGCCCCAAAAGACCAUUACGCAUUUAAUUUGGAUCCGCCCUUAUCGCACAGGACCUCAGGGACGCGUUACUAAGUAUUAUGCAUGCCAUAAAAAUAUUUACCUACUCAGCCUUCCUCGUUCGUGAUUCGUAAAUAAUUGAGCCGUAGCUGCCCACCGUGCGUGUUCUUGGACUGUAAUGAACAAUUUCUAAUUUAGUUUUUUCAUAGACCUAGAAAUAUUAUGAAUUUGUAAAUUAUAAAUGUAAUUACUGGUAUAGUUUCCCCCAAUUUUUGCCACUAAAUUCAUAAAUGAUUAUAUAUAUGUUCUCAGUUUAUGCACUAAGCUUGCUGUUAAGAUUGUCGUUCCUUAUUUAUGUCUA